rnacentral:lncRNA from 1 species
AGGUCCUUGAUUUCAAAUUCAUUGGCAAGUUUUUCCUUGAGAUUAACCAUCUUUUCUUUAUUAUUUCCAAUUAUUACAAUGUCAUCAACAUAGACAAUGAGAAUGGUAAUCUUGCCAUUUCCACGUUUGACGAAUAUAGUGUGAUCUGCCCAGCUUUGCUUGUAUCCAAAUCUCAUCAUAGCCUUAUAGUACCUUUCAAACCAUGCUUUAGGGGAUGUUUCAACCC